UCACAUACACAAAGAGCGAGUGUGGUUUAGGGACCAAGUGAUCUUAAAUUUUGCCUGUGAUUAUUAAGCAGAUGGUUUUGGAGGACUCAUUCAUCCUCUGCCUCCGUCGCUGGCAGAUCUGUCCCUUCUCCGGGGAUCCACCCCCCCUUCCUCUGUUCGCACACGCGCCCUAGGCACUUCCGCAUGCCCUGCUCUCUGCCUGGUGGUGGCCGGGCCACAGUGAGAGGGACCCACUCUGCCUCCAGGAAAUUCACAGUUCGGCAAGAAGUGCUGAGCACCAGGCAGAUACCGCUCAGGCGGGUCAGGGCUGCCAUCAAGGGUAGAGUCAUUGAUGGACAAGGUCUCGGAGGACAGUGGCGAGAAGCUCCCGGCUCCCACCAGUGGCCCUGAGAUCUGUGGUGUCCCCUCUCCCGAGGCUGUGGGUCCGUCGGGGAUGUUUGGAAGGUUGCCACAUGGAUGGCUGAUUCCAGGCUGGAGUGCCUUUAGGAACUGACCCAGAAAACCUGCCCACGCUUGGGCAAGGACAUGAGGGAAUUCACAAAACCCUGCAUUAUUCAUUAACAGGCCUGUUGGCAAAUAUCUUGGGCCUGGUAAGGAUGGUCAUAACUUUACAAGUUCAGUUAUUUCGUUAAGAGCUGGUGAAGAUUUUGCAGACCCAUUGAAUCCACGAGCGAGGCUCUAAAACGAAUCCUUUUGGAAGUCCGGAAGGCAUCAAGACUUAUAAUACGUUACAACACUUAAUUUGCAGAAGUAUAUACAGUGUUUGUUAUAACAUUUGUUCCAGAAAUUUAAAAAGGAUUAGCCUCAUUAAAAUGCCUCUCGAGCCCAUUUGGUAUUUUGAAUUCUUGAGGUAGAGUAAGCAAAGGCAACAAUAGAACGCCUAAAAUAAUAUCAUUAGGACAUUGUUCUUCCUGCUAUGAUUAAACAACCACUAAAAAAUGUCAACCAUAAAACAAUACGAAAGACAUAUUCCUACCAUUCUUAUGUGUACAAUGAAAGAGGAUAUAAACCAGAA